GACGAACGCUGGCGGCGUGCUUAACACAUGCAAGUCGAACGGAAAGGUCCUGCUUUUGUGGGGUGCUCGAGUGGCGACCGGGUGAGUAACACGUGAGUAACCUGUCACUGACUUUGGGAUAACUUCAGGCAACUGGGGCUAAUACCGGCUAGGAGCUCUUGCUGCUUGGUGGGGGUUGGAUAGUUUCGGCGGUUGGGGAUGGACUCGCGGCGUAUCAGCUUGUUUGUGUGGUAGUGGCUUACCAAGGCUAUGACAGGUAGCCGGGCUGCGAGGGUGACCGGCCACAUUGGGACUGAAAUGCGGCCCGGACUCCAACGGUAGGCAACGGUGGAGUAGAGUGCACAAGGGGCGGAAGCCUGAUGCAACAACGCCACGUGCGGUAUGACGUCCUGCGGUUUGGAUUCCACUUUCGCCUGAGACGAAGCGUGAAUGACGGUAAUGGGUAAAGAAGCACCGGCUAACUACGUG
rnacentral:rRNA from 1 species